UUGAGUUUUUGUAAUAUUUAAUUUUUUUUCUGGUUCUUGAAAAACCUAUAAUUUUAGUUAUGUCAUUCCCACUUCAAGUUCUUUUUGGAACAAAAUUUAAAAGUGACUUAUUUGAGGGUGAUUCAGGAAUAUUAAUGGUGUCACUUAAGCUUGUAUAGAUGUUUAACCUGGAAGUCCUAGUUCUGUGUAAAAGAUACUCCACAAUAAGUGUUUAAAAGCAAACCACUUCAUGAUUUCAUCUUUUAAGUUGCUCUUAUAGUGGCCUGAUAAUCAAUGAAACACAGUGGGGUCUCCCAUUCUGCUUUACCUGGAGGAAGAUAGCUGGUCUUGUAUACAUUUUCACUGUGCCUGAAAAGAAAGCUUACCAUUGUUCAGGUAUAAAGGAACAGCUAAUAAAGCUGUAUUGCAGGUGGCUUUAUGACCUAUGCUAUCUUUUCAUCUUUCUAAGCAACUUAAUCCAUAUUUGAGUAGGAUAAUGUGUACAGGCAUAGUUUGUGGGCAGCUCUACUUGUGCUUGAACACAUGGAGAGAAGGACCCUGGAAAGGCCAUGUACUGAUUGGAAACUUUUCUUUUGACCUGGUUUGAGUGUUGCCUCCAGUCUGGUGUGGUUUUUGUGCAUUUUUUUGUUGUUUAAUUCCCCAAGGCAUACAACAUCCAAUAAAGAGUUGACAGCAGUUUAACAUAUCUUUGUGGUGUAUAAGUAUGUUCUUCAGUGGAUAUGUCCUUUCUCCAUAUACUAUGUGUAAAUUUAAUUGGUAAUUUUGCAAGUGAUGCUUUAUAUAAUUAUAUCUAUGUGAUAUCUCUAAUUGCAGCUGAAGCGAUUUGAGGUCUAUCAUAGCGUUGAUACUUUGAGUCAUAUUUUUUCCCCUUUAGAUUGGCUGAUGUUAGAAAUCAGAUAAUAUUAGCUGUUCGUCAAGAAUAUGUCGAGCUUGGAGAUCAGCUCCUCCUGCUUCAACCUGGAGACGAAAUUGCCAUUAUCCCCCCCAUUAGUGGAGGAUAGUGCUUUUGAGCCAUCUAGGAAAGAUAUGGAUGAAGUUGAAGAGAAAUCUAAAGAUGUUAUAAACUUUACUGCCGAGAAACUUUCAGUAGAUGAAGUCUCACAGUUGGUGAUUUCUCCGCUCUGUGGUGCAAUAUCCCUAUUUGUAGGGACUACAAGAAAUAACUUUGAAGGGAAAAAAGUCAUUAGCUUAGAAUAUGAAGCAUAUCUACCCAUGGCGGAAAAUGAAGUCAGAAAGAUUUGUAGUGACAUUAGGCAGAAAUGGCCAGUCAAACACAUAGCAGUGUUCCAUAGACUUGGGUAUGAUUUCUUUAUCACUUUAAAAGUUAAGUAUAAUUGUUUUCCAUCUUUGUACUAACUCUGAUUCUUGAAUCUUUCUUAGGAAUUCUAUGUUACCAUGAGAAGAAUAUUCAUGUAUUAUUUUUGGAGGACAAUAGGGAUGGCUGUUAGUACCUUUAGUGACUGCCUAGUGGGUUUUGAUAUUGGGAGAGCUCUUGUUGCCUCUGUUGCUGUAACAAGGUGCACCUGUGCCAAGACUUACAGGCCCUAUGACAAUCUGUGACAGAUUCUUUUUGAUAUAAAUGCCUCUGAAAGUCAUUAAAGUGGUUUGCCUUUUUGUACCCCUAAAAAGAGAAGAGUUCUUGGCUUUAAAAAGAAGCCAGUAAUUGAGACUGUAUCUAUCAUACUCUGUUAGUUACUAGUUUGUUAUUAAUAACCAGUAGUUUUAUUAAUGGUUAAUAUUAUCACUCCUAUUACUUGAUAUGUAUUAUUUUAAAUUUUGUAUUAUACUUAUUAGGACAUAACUUAGUAUUUCUAGGCAUUACUUGGCACUGUGCCUUGUUGAGUCAGAUGUUUGCUGUGUCAAUGAAAGGAUUUUCCUUGGUGCCCAUCAGGAGGGUUUAGUGGAUAGAUUCUAACAAAUUAGCUGUAGCAUCAGCCUCAUCUGCUGCCUCUGCUGAAUGCUACUGCAAUUAAUUACUUUUUUCUAACUAUGUUUACGUAAAAUAGAACUACAGUAUAAUUCCAAGACUGCAUACCUGGAUUUUUUUUCAUCUGUCUAGCAGAUUCUUUAACACGUAGAUUCAGAGAUGAUGGUGAUUUUUUUUCCCUUCAUCUUGUUAAAGCUUGGUUCCAGUGUCAGAAGCAAGCAUAAUCAUUGCUGUGUCCUCAGCCCACAGAGCUGCAUCUCUUGAAGCUGUGAGCUAUGCCAUUGAUACUUUAAAAGCCAAGGUGCCCAUAUGGAAAAAGGAAAUAUAUGAAGAGUCAUCAUCUUGGAAAGGAAACAAAGAGUGCUUUUGGGCAUCCAACAAUUAAUCACUUAUGUUUUUAGAGCAUGCAAUCUUAACUUUGUUAAACUAUUGUUAUUGAUCACAUUUUGAUUUUUUUCUCUCCACAUCAGGAUAGUUUACUAAAGCAUAAUCUCUUAUGUUAUACUAGUGGGACAAAAGGGAGAAAAAGGAAGCAAGAUAAAUGGGUAUGUAGGAUGAAGGGUUAUUUAAAGUGGAACUAAAGAUAGAAGGAGGACUGUAGGAAGAAAUGGAAUAAUUUAAAUGUGAGGAAAGAUAUCUGUGGUAGACAUGUCCUUCCAUGACUAAUUUCUAAUUGUAACUCAACACACAUUGAGGUGGGGGCCCUCCUCAGUGACUUUAACUAGCUCAGAAACAUACUCCCCCACCAACCCCACCUCACCCCCCGGUCCCGGUUCAGGGAGAGCAUUGUUAUUAAGGAUGCAUGACAGGAAUGUUGGCAGAACUGGAAAGUAUUAAAAAAUCAUUAUCAGACAGUCUUGAUAUUAUAUAUUUUCAGAAAUAUAUUAAAAAUAAACUAAAACCCAUGAUUUCAAAAGUUU
rnacentral:sRNA from 1 species